AUUUAAACCUGUGUUCAGCUUUCAGGCCAGCUUCAUAUAGUAUUGCGAGCUCCCGAUACACUGUACUUCAGCAUUGAAUUUUCUUUUACUGAAUUAUCCGAUGAAGCUCCAUCAUUUGUCGAUCCUCUUCCUGUGUGUCGUGUUGUUGCUGGUUGCCUCACCAGUUGAGGCUGGACGUCGACGCCGUCAACUGAACGCUAGCGCCACCGUUUACAGGGCUCACUUUAAUCGUCCUUCAUUUACUAGAAAUCCAAUCAGGCAGCCUUUCGUAGGGCGACCUGUGCGCUAUCAUGCUUACAUUGGCGACACUGCUGAUUUAAGCACCUUACGCUAUCGGAUUCGCGUUCCCAGACGACCGGAGGUGAUAAAUGCAAGACCCAUCUACCAACAUAACCCUCGAAGGCACAUGAAAUUUGACUACGAGCAUCCGGACCACUUUCACAUCUAUCACAGCUAAUUUACACAAAAUUGCAUUGGCUUCCGACGUUUGGGACGUAUAUAGGUGUACAUUUUUAAAAUUUGUUUUUACGUAGAUUUUAUUGUUUGGUAAAGAACUAUGAUGUGUCAUCUAGCGCUAUAGCGUACUGGCGCGCUAAUAAAUUGUUCGCUUCGAUGUA